rnacentral:piRNA from 1 species
UAUGAUGAAUGCAGUUCUUUAGAAAAGCUC